ACGCUGGCGGCAGGCUUAACACAUGCAAGUCGAACGGUAGCAGGAGAAAGCUUGCUUUCUUGCUGACGAGUGGCGGACGGGUGAGUAAUGCUUGGGAAUCUGGCUUAUGGAGGGGGAUAACUACGGGAAACUGUAGCUAAUACCGCGUAAUAUCGAAAGAUGAAAGUGUGGGACCUUCGGGCCACAUGCCAUAAGAUGAGCCCAAGUGGGAUUAGGUAGUUGGUGGGGUAAAGGCCUACCAAGCCGACGAUCUCUAGCUGGUCUGAGAGGAUGACCAGCCACACUGGAACUGAGACACGGUCCAGACUCCUACGGGAGGCAGCAGUGGGGAAUAUUGCGCAAUGGGGGGAACCCUGACGCAGCCAUGCCGCGUGAAUGAAGAAGGCCUUCGGGUUGUAAAGUUCUUUCGGUAUUGAGGAAGGGAUGUGUGCUAAUAGUACACGUCAUUGACGUUAAAUACAGAAGAAGCACCGGCUAACUCCGUGCCAGCAGCCGCGGUAAUACGGAGGGUGCGAGCGUUAAUCGGAAUAACUGGGCGUAAAGGGCACGCAGGCGGUUAUUUAAGUGAGGUGUGAAAGCCCCGGGCUUAACCUGGGAAUUGCAUUUCAGACUGGGUAACUAGAGUACUUUAGGGAGGGGUAGAAUUCCACGUGUAGCGGUGAAAUGCGUAGAGAUGUGGAGGAAUACCGAAGGCGAAGGCAGCCCCUUGGGAAUGUACUGACGCUCAUGUGCGAAAGCGUGGGGAGCAAACAGGAUUAGAUACCCUGGUAGUCCACGCUGUAAACGCUGUCGAUUUGGGGGAUUGGGCUUUAAGCUUGGUGCCCGUAGCUAACGUGAUAAAUCGACCGCCUGGGGAGUACGGCCGCAAGGUUAAAACUCAAAUGAAUUGACGGGGGCCCGCACAAGCGGUGGAGCAUGUGGUUUAAUUCGAUGCA
rnacentral:rRNA from 1 species